rnacentral:rRNA from 1 species
UCUAAUACCGGAUAUCACUCCUGCAGGCAUCUGUGGGAGUCGAAAGCUCCGGCGGUGAAGGAUGAGCCCGCGGCCUAUCAGCUUGUUGGUGAGGUAGUGGCUCACCAAGGCGACGACGGG